rnacentral:rRNA from 1 species
ACAGGGAGGACAGGUGGUGGCAUGGUUGUCGUCAGCUCGUGUCGUGAGAUGUUGGGUUAAGUCCCGCAACGAGCGCAACCCCUACGUUUAGUUGCUAACGCGUGAGGGCGAGCACUCUAGACGAACUGCCGUUGACAAAACGGAGGAAGGUGGGGAUGACGUCAAAUCAUCAUGCCCCUUAUGUUCUGGGCUACACACGUGCUACAAUGGCCGGUACAGACGGACGCAAAGCCGCGAGGUGGAGCAAAUCCUAAAAAGCCGGUCUCAGUUCGGAUUGCAGGCUGCAAUUCGCCUGCAUGAAGUCGGAAUCGCUAGUAAUCGCAGGUCAGCAUACUGCGGUGAAUACGUUCCCGGGCCUU